GCAGAAGGGACACCCUCCUGUUCGCAGGACGAGCAGCACCAGGUUGGGGAAGAACAGGGGAAUAUUUUCUGCAGUCUUUAUAAACAGGGAUGGGAUGGCGUCACACGGCCUCCUGGGAAGCUCGAGCUGCCAGUGGAUCGUCCACCUUUCCCUGCCUGCACCAGGCCACGCCCCCGUGGCAGAAACCCCCCCAUAUUGUGACAAGCGGAUUAAACUACAGAGAUCGUGCAUCAUGAAAAAUGGGAAUGUUCCCUCAUUAAUUCAGAAAAACUGAAAAAAUAUCACUCAUAAAAACAGGAUGAUUAUCUUGUUAUUUCAGAAAAACAGAAAAUAUUACUUGUAAAAACAGGAUGAUUGUGUCAUUAAUUCAGAAAAACAGAACCAAUUUUUUUUCCUAGAUGAAUGCAAUAUGCUUUCGUAGUACAGAGUUUCAGCUGCCGUUUUUCAUAGAUUUCAGGCCAGCUCAGUUUCCUGGUGAAUAUGUCAAACUAAAGCCACAGUGUUAACAAUGAUUUUAUUUCCAAUUUACACCAGUAUAAAUGCAGGUAUAUUGGAAUGUUUCUUUUCAUGUAUCCCAUCGUGAAAUAUACACACACACACACACACACACAAUGUUUUCCAAUCCAGUCCUCGGCGACCCAAAGAUAAUCCAUGUUUUUGCUCCUUCCCAGCUCCCUGUAGGCAGCAAAAAUGUAGACUGUCUGGCAGGGAGGAGGAGGAGGAGGGAGCAAAAACAUGGACCAUCUGUGGGUCCCUGAGGACCGGAUUGGGAAACACCGAUGUAGGCAGUUGAGAGUGAAGCCUGGGGUCUGGUCACAGGCUCAGCCAUUUAUCCAGCAACCUGUAGCAUUUCAGGGGUUAAGGGCCUCUCUCAGGGGCCCGAUGGACAUGUGACUAUUCUGCUCACAACGGUAUUUGAACCAACCUUCCAAUCGCAAUGGAGGCUUACCCCGCUGAGCACACAAAACUCCCCUGAAAACAUAUUUGUUUCUACCCGCUUUUGAACUGGAGACCAGUGAUUACAUGAUAACCACCACACUACAGAAACCAGCCAUUGCGUUAUAAUACUCUCUAAAGGAUCCAGAUAUGUUUUACACGCAGUUGUUUGUUCCUACCAUCACCUCAUCAUCCAUUACCCCCAAUCUAAGCCUGGGAUUUGGCUUUAAAAAAUCUGUACAUACAAAUUGUGCAAAGUAUCUAUAUGAUUACUGCAGUUCUUAUGAUGCAGUAUGAAAUUAACCACAGGGUCCAUGUGACAGACUUGGGCCAAUGAGAAACAGGUCAGUUUGCAAUGAAAACAAUAAAUGGAUAUUUUGA